UACAGAGGUCCCGAGCGUUUGUUCGGAUUCAUUGGGCGUAAAGGGUGCGUAGGCGGCGCGGUAAGUCGGGUGUGAAAUCUCGGAGCUUAACUCCGAAACUGCAUUCGAUACUGCCGUGCUUGAGGACUGGAGAGGAGACUGGAAUUUACGGUGUAGCGGUGAAAUGCGUAGAUAUCGUAAGGAAGACCAGUGGCGAAGGCGGGUCUCUGGACAGUUCCUGACGCUGAGGCACGAAGGCUAGGGGAGCAAACGGG
rnacentral:rRNA from 1 species